UACAGAGGUCUCAAGCGUUGUUCGGAUUCAUUGGGCGUAAAGGGUGCGUAGGCGGCGCGGUAAGUCGGGUGUGAAAUCUCGGAGCUUAACUCCGAAACUGCAUUCGAUACUGCCGUGCUUGAGGACUGGAGAGGAGACUGGAAUUUACGGUGUAGCGGUGAAAUGCGUAGAUAUCGUAAGGAAGACCAGUGCGAAGGCGGGUCUCUGGACAGUUCCUGACGCUGAGGCACGAAGGUCAGGGGAGCAAACGGG
rnacentral:rRNA from 1 species